ensembl:snoRNA small nucleolar RNA, H/ACA box 33
AAGCCAGCCAAUGAAUCUGCUUACUACCUAUUGUGUUUCUGCAGAAAUCUAGAAAAAGCUGGCAAUAGUAGUGCCAUGUUACGAGCCUUAAAGACAUUGAAGUCUUUCAGGUCCCUGAAAAUGGCUACAACA